UACGUAGGGUGCAAGCGUUGUCCGGAAUUAUUGGGCGUAAAGCGCGUGUAGGCGGUUUCGCAAGUCGGGUGUGAAAGCCCUCAGCUCAACUGAGGAAGUGCGCCCGAAACUGCGGAGCUUGAGUACCGGAGAGGAUGGCGGAAUUCCCCAAGUAGAGGUGAAAUUCGUAGAUAUGGGGAGGAACACCGGUGGCGAAGGCGGCCAUCUGGACGGAUACUGACGCUGAGACGCGAAAGCGUGGGUAGCAAACAGG
rnacentral:rRNA from 1 species